rnacentral:rRNA from 1 species
GACGAACGCUGGCGGCGUGCCUAACACAUGCAAGUCGAACGGAGAUAUGAUUUCGGUUGUAUCUUAGUGGCGAACGGGUGAGUAACGCGUGAACAACCCGACUCUCAGAGGGGGAUAACACUCGGAAACGGGUGCUAAUACCGCAUAAGACCACGACCUGGCAUCAGGAUGAGGUCAAAGGAGCAAUCCGCUGAGAGAGGGGUUCGCGUCCCAUUAGAUAGAUGGCGGGGUAACGGCCCACCAUGUCAGCGAUGGGUAGCCGAGCUGAGAGGCUGAUCGGCCACACUGGAACUGAGACACGGUCCAGACUCCUACGGGAGGCAGCAGUGGGGAAUAUUGGGCAAUGGGUGCAAGCCUGACCCAGCAACGCCGCGUGAGGGAAGAAGGCUUUCGGGUUGUAAACCUCUGUCCUUGGUGACGAAAAAAAUGACGGUAGCCUAGGAGGAAGCCCCGGCUAACUACGUGCCAGCAGCCGCGGUAAUACGUAGGGGGCUAGCGUUGUCCGGAUUUACUGGGCGUAAAGGGUGAGUAGGCGGUUAUGUAUGUCAGAUGUAAAAGGCGCGGGCUUAACUUGCGUUAGCAUUUGAAACUGCAUAACUUGAGUGCAGGAGAGGUAAGCGGAAUUCCUAGUGUAGCGGUGAAAUGCGUAGAUAUUAGGAGGAACACCGGUGGCGAAGGCGGCUUACUGGACUGUAACUGACGCUGAGUCACGAAAGCGUGGGUAGCAAACAGGAUUAGAUACCCUGGUAGUCCACGCUGUAAACGAUGAGCGCUAGGUGUUGGGUAGCGAUACUCAGUGCCGGAGUAAACACAAUAAGCACUCCGCCUGGGGAGUACGGUCGCAAGACU